rnacentral:rRNA from 1 species
GAUGAACGCUGGCGACGUGGAUAAGGCAUGCAAGUCGAAUGGGAGCGGGGGAGAAGCUUGCUUUUCCUGCCGGCGAGUGGCGAACGGGUGAGUAAUACAUCGGAACGUGCCCUGUAGUGGGGGAUAACUAGUCGAAAGAUUAGCUAAUACCGCAUACGACCUGAGGGUGAAAGUGGGGGACCGCAAGGCCUCAUGCUAUAGGAGCGGCCGAUGUCUGAUUAGCUAGGUGGUGGGGUAAAGGCCUACCAAGGCGACGAUCAGUAGCUGGUCUGAGAGGACGAUCAGCCACACUGGGACUGAGACACGGCCCAGACUCCGACGGGAGGCAGCAGUGGGGAAUUUUGGACAAUGGGCGAAAGCCUGAUCCAGCAAUGCCGCGUGUGUGAAGAAGGCCUUCGGGUUGUAAAGCACUUUUGUCCGGAAAGAAAUGGCUCUGGUUAAUACCUGGGGUCGAUGACGGUACCGGAAGAAUAAGGACCGGCUAACUACGUGCCAGCCGCCGCUGUAA